UACGGGAGGCAGCAGGGGGAAUAUUGGACAAUGGGCGAAAGCCUGAUCCAGCCAUGCCGCAUGAGUGAAGAAGGCCUUCGGGUUGUAAAGCUCUUUUAGUGAGAAAGAUAAUGACGGUACUCACAGAAGAAGUCCUGGCUAACUCCGUGCCAGCAGCCGCGGUAAUACGGAGAGGGCUAGCGUUAUUCGGAAUUAUUGGGCGUAAAGAGCGCGUAGGCUGAUUAGUAAGUUAAAAGUGAAAUCCCAAAGCUUAACUUUGGAAUUGCUUUUUAAAACUGCUAGUCUAGAGAUUUGAAAGAGGAUAGAGGAAUUCCUAGUGUAGAGGUGAAAUUCGUAAAUAUUAGGAGGAACACCAGUGGCGAAGGCGUCUAUCUGGUUCAAAUCUGACGCUGAGGCGCGAAGGGCGUGGGGAGCGAAACAGGGAUUAGAUACCCGU
rnacentral:rRNA from 1 species